rnacentral:rRNA from 1 species
AAAGGUAAGCUACUAAGAGCAAAUGGUGGAUGCCUUGGCUAGUAGAGGCGAUGAAAGACGUGCCAGGCUGCGAUAAGUCUCGGGGAGCCGUCAAGGGGCUUUGAUCCGGGAAUUUCUGAAUGGGGCAACCCAGUAUAUAGUGAUAUAUACUACCGCAAUGCGGAGCUAACGUUGGGAAUUGAAACAUCUUAGUACCAACAGGAAAAGAAAUCAAAAGAGAUUACGCUAGUAGCGGCGAGCGAACGCGUAAGAGGGCAAACCGUUAGUUUACUAACGGGGUUGUAGGACUGCAACAUAGACUUAAACAAACUAAUAGAAUAACCUGGAAAGGUUGGCCAUAGAGGGUGAUAGCCCCGUAUAUGAAAGUGCGUUUAUACUUAGCAGUAUCCUGAGUAGGG